rnacentral:rRNA from 1 species
CGCGUAGGCGGCCUGCUAAGUCGAACGUGAAAUCCCUGGGCUCAACCCAGGAACUGCGUCCGAUACUGGUUGGCUUGAAUCCGGGAGAGGGAUGCGGAAUUCCAGGUGUAGUGGUGAAAUGCGUAGAUAUCUGGAGGAACACCGGUGGCGAAGGCGGCAUCCUGGACCGGCAUUGACGCUGAGGCGCGAAAGCCAGGGGAGCAAACG